rnacentral:rRNA from 1 species
UACUAUACUAAAUUUUAAAAUUAACUUGAAUAUUAUUAGAUAUAAUCUCUAAAUUCAAAGAAUUUGGCGGUAAUUUAGUCUAUCCAGAGGAACCUGUUUCUUAAUCGAUAAUCCGCGAAGAAUCUUACUUAUUUUGUUUAUUAGUUUGUAUACCGUCAUUAUCAGAUAAUAUCUAGAAAUUAAUUAUUUAGUUUUAAAUAAUAAACAAAAUUAGAUCAAGGUGCAGCUUAUAAAUAAGUUGAAAUGGGUUACAAUUAAUUAAAUGUAAAACGGAAUAGAAAAUGAAAUAAAGCUUUAGAAGGAGGAUUUGGUUGUAAUUUAAAUUAAUAUGAUAAAAAGAUAUUAGCUCUAAGUUAU